UUAGUUUGCGCUUAAGUGCCCGAAAAUGCUCACGCGCGGAGCAUGGCAAGCUAGCUAGCUUAUUACGCCUCUGUGACCCCAGCGGAGAGAAGAGAGCGACCUUCCCUACACUACUUAGGUACAAUGUCUCCGUUUUUUCGUAAACAAGAAGAAGACGACGACGAGGACGUGGAGAAUAUUCCUUGGAAGAGGUAGGGCUGCGCGGCCAUGGCGGCUCAUGAGGGAGGGUGGAGCAAGGUGGUGUAUGGCGGAAUGCAGGGGGGCUUCCCGGACAAUUACACCGACUCGUCGUUUCUCGAGGACAUGGUGAUGAACGCGAAUGUGGUACGGCGGGAUCUGUGGACCACGGUGCUGGAUUCAGUGGGAGUGGCGCAGCACCUGUGUGUGGUUGCCAUCAUCGCCAGUGUGUGGGCUUACACCCUCUGCCAACGCCUCACCGCCGCCGCGCUCCUCUCUCUCGACGCGCUGCUCCUGGCGCUUGGCCUGUGCAUCUGGCUCCUCACCACUCUCCACCACCACCGCCUCCGCCGCCACACCACCACCACGACGCUCCGCCACCUCCUCUACUUCGUCGCCGGCCUCUACGUCAUGACCCCAGUCUUCCACACCCUCACCACCUCCAUCAGCUCCGAUUCAAUCUGGGCCUGCACCAUCUGCCUCUUGCUCCUCCACCUCUUCCUCCACGACUACUCGUGCUGCUCCACCACCUCCGCCACCUCCACCUCCGUCGUCGCCAGCGUCUCCCUCCACGCCUCCAUCCUCGCCUCGGUCCUCAUUGCCUCGCGCCUGCCGUCCACACCCCUCGUCUUUGCCACCAUGCUCUUCUCUCUUCAGUUCUUCCUGCUCUUCCCUCCUCUCAGCUGCUCCGUCAAGCGGGCGUCCGUGAAGCUGCACCUCGUCCUCUCCUCCCUGCUGCUGCUCGCCGCGCUCGUCCUCCUGCUGCCCCUCAGCGUCCCCGCCUGCCUGCUGCUGGCCGCUGCGUUGCUCGUCAUCACCUUGGUGUGCCCGCUCUGGCUGCUCCGGAUCCACGAGUACAAGUUCGAGAUCAACGGGCCGUGGGACGAGGCCAAGCUCUGCUUCCGCAUUGACGACGAUGACGCACGCAACUUAUAGGUGGACGAUUAUAGGGCCCAGCUAGGGUAAACUGGAGCAAAUGGCGGCAUCGCGGUGGGCGACAUGGGCGUGGACGGCCGCUCUCCUCCUGGCUGGCGCCUUUGCCGACUCAAAUCGCUUGCUUCCUGUGAAUUCAGCUUUCAGGACCCCAAGUACAAGCUCCAAUUCCAUGAGCUGCAAGAUCCAUACAGCCCGGAGGAUCCGGACACGGAGAUGGUUCGCAUGACGGACAGAGAUGGCAGAAAGUUUGAGUGCUUUCUACCCAAGAAACCAGAGGCUUCCCCACUCGACGGGGCCAACGAGACGGAAGCGACGCUGGCCGAGAUCUCGAGGAGGACGCCGGAAGAGCUGCUGGAUGUUCUCAAAGACAGGUGCUUCCACAGGCACGAGGGAUGGUGGACCUACGAGCUGUGCUAC